UCAUCAGAGAGGCAUCGCUGCUUGUGCGCACUGGCCUUCCCAAACUCCUCACUCCUGGUCAGACAUCUACAGACAGCAAGGCUGAGCUGACACCAUGGAUUUAUGAGUAGGCUGAGGAACCUUAACAACAUCAAAUGAAGUGGUGGUGAAGCUUAUCAAAACUGCCAUCAUUUUGAAGCAGGAAGAUUUAGCUGAUUUCUGCUGGUGCCCUGCAAUGAAGAGGAUCAGUCAGGUGGAUGCAGAACAAAUCAAGAAGGUACUACAGCUGUUCUAAAAUGAUAAGUCUUGCAUAGAAAAGCACUUACAGCCAUUUAGAAGAGGGACUUACUUGAGACAUUAUUGCUUUUCAGGUUAAAAUGGUUUCUAGCUAGAUAAAGAUUUUCUCUCUGUGUUAAUAAAACUGAAUUUUGUUUGUACAA